rnacentral:rRNA from 1 species
AUAUGUCUUCGGAUAUAGAGACCGGCGCACGGGUGCGUAACGCGUAUGCAAUCUGCCUUUUCAGAGGGAUAGCCCAGAGAAAUUUGGAUUAAUACCUCAUAGUAUAGUGACUCGGCAUCGAGAUACUAUUAAAGUCACAACGGUAAAAGAUGAGCAUGCGUCCCAUUAGCUAGUUGGUAAGGUAACGGCUUACCAAGGCUACGAUGGGUAGGGGUCCUGAGAGGGAGAUCCCCCACACUGGUACUGAGACACGGACCAGACUCCUACGGGAGGCAGCAGUGAGGAAUAUUGGACAAUGGGCGCAAGCCUGAUCCAGCCAUGCCGCGUGCAGGAUGACGGUCCUAUGGAUUGUAAACUGCUUUUGUACGAGAAGAAACACUCCUUCGUGAAGGAGCUUGACGGUAUCGUAAGAAUAAGGAUCGGCUAACUCCGUGCCAGCAGCCGCGGUAAUACGGAGGAUCCAAGCGUUAUCCGGAAUCAUUGGGUUUAAAGGGUCCGUAGGCGGUUUAGUAAGUCAGUGGUGAAAGCCCAUCGCUCAACGGUGGAACGGCCAUUGAUACUGCUAAACUUGAAUUAUUAGGAAGUAACUAGAAUAUGUAGUGUUACGGUGAAAUGCUUAGAGAUAACAUGGAAUACCAAUUGCGAAGGCAGGUUACUACUAAUGGAUUGA